rnacentral:rRNA from 1 species
UACGGAGGGGGUUAGCGUUGUUCGGAAUUACUGGGCGUAAAGCGCACGUAGGCGGAUUAGAAAGUUAGAGGUGAAAUCCCAGGGCUCAACCCUGGAACUGCCUUUAAAACUCCUAGUCUUGAGUUCGAGAGAGGUGAGUGGAAUUCCAAGUGUAGAGGUGAAAUUCGUAGAUAUUUGGAGGAACACCAGUGGCGAAGGCGGCUCACUGGCUCGAUACUGACGCUGAGGUGCGAAAGUGU